GAUGAACGCUAGCGGCAGGCUUAACACAUGCAAGUCGAGCGGCAGCAUGGUCUUAGUUUGCUAAGACCGAUGGCGACCGGCGCACGGGUGAGUAACGCGUAUGCAACUUGCCUCACAGAGGGGGAUAACCCGUCGAAAGACGGACUAAUACCGAGUACAUUUUGGAUAGGGCAUCCUGACCCAAGGCAGUGAAAUUCGCUGUGAGAUAGGCAUGCGUCCCAUUGGUUAGUUGGUGAGGUAACGGCUCGUCAAGGCGACGAUGGGUAAGGGAACGGAGAGGGUGACCCCCGAGACCGGUACCGGGACACGGACCACACUGCGACGGGGGAGAGGAGUAAGGAAGGUAGGUGGAGGGACGAGGGCCUGAACCAGCCAAGUCGCGUGAAGGAGGCCUGUCUUAGGGAUGGUAAACUUCUUGUGUACAAGAAUAGCAAGAGUCACGUGUGGCUCCCUGCAGGUACCGUAUGAAUAAGCAACGGCUAACUCCGUG
rnacentral:rRNA from 1 species